UUUCCAUUUUAAUUUUUUUUUAUUGUGUGAGUUAAACGCAGCAGCAACAAUAACUUCAGGGGACGGCUUUCCCAAAGCCUUUCAACAUGGACAGCUGGCCAGAAGCCACCAAGGUCGCAGGUCAUCUUCCACGGGCAUAACAUAGCCACGUCGGCCGACCCGACCACCAGCAACUGCCAGGAGCAAGACCAACAGCGUGGCCAGGACAACAGCAACAGAGCAUCAGCGUUUGGUUGCUCUUUCGCCGCGAUACCUCCGACCGUCGCCCUAAUCACCGCCGGAACACGAUCCUAAUUCACCCUCCACCGUGGUCCACCGUCGCAGGUGGGGACACCCAUCCAUGACCUAAUGACGGUUGUCGGAGGCAAGAAAGUGAAUCUCCGCCGCGAUCGACGCCAGCGAAGUGAACAAAUUUAGCGUCGCCGUUGACCGUUGUGAUGAGUUCGUGGUUGCACGAGGAGCCAUCAGCCCAUCAAUGGUCGCGUUAAUGGUUACAUGGCCAGGGUGGUGGUUAAGGUGAGCGGGAGCAUCCACCGCAAGAUCUGUUCCUUCGGUAAUGCGGCGGCGCAUAAGCUUGACAGAUCUUUGAUGGCGGAGCUUCGAAAUGAGGUGGUGCUGUGAUGAAGGUGGCGCCGGUGAUCGCCUUGUCGCAACAGCCGUCGGAGAUGGGAAAAGAGAGAAAUGGAAUGGAGGACCGAGUGGCGGUGGCUGAGGUGGAGAAAUAAUAAGCGGCGAAGGAGAUAGAGAGAGUCGCGGGGAUGCUGGUGGCUGUGGUUGCGCGUCGCCGUCGAAGAUGGGAGGAGAGCGGAAUGGAACAGCGUCGGGCCUGUGGUGGCUGAGGUGGAGAAAGAAUGAGCCGCCGCCUGAUGCUGAAGGUGCUCAGUCUUGCCAUAGCUGCGAGGCAAACGAAGGGAGUUGUUGAUGUUGGUGAUUUAAUUUUUUUUAGUUUCAGUUAAGAACUGUGAUCUUUUAGUAAUGCUUUUGUUGGAUUUAGUUAAGAAAUAAAUGGUUUUAGUUGAUUUUUUCUGAAUUUAAGUCAAUUAUUGUUUAGUUAACAUUUAUUCUC